rnacentral:rRNA from 1 species
AUACGUAGGGGGCGAGCGUUGUCCGGAAUUACUGGGCGUAAAGGGCGUGUAGGCGGCCUGUCAAGUCAGGGGUGAAAGCCCGGGGCUCAACUGCGGGUGUGCCCUUGAGACUGAUGGGCUUGAGUGCUCCAGAGGGCAGUGGAAUUCCCGGUGUAGCGGUGAAAUGCGUAGAGAUCGGGAGGAACACCAGUGGCGAAGGCGGCUGCCUGGGGAGCAACUGACGCUGAGGCGCGAAAGCUGGGGGAGCAAACAGGAUUAGAUACCCUGGUAGUCCCAGCCGUAAACGAUGAGUGCUAGGUGUGAGGGGUAUCGACCCCCCUCGUGCCGUAGCUAACGCAAUAAGCACUCCGCCUGGGGAGUACGGCCGCAAGGUUGAA